rnacentral:rRNA from 1 species
UUCGACACACUAUCAUUAACUGAAUCCAUAGGUUAAUGAGGCGAACCGGGGGAACUGAAACAUCUAAGUACCCCGAGGAAAAGAAAUCAACCGAGAUUCCCCCAGUAGCGGCGAGCGAACGGGGAGCAGCCCAGAGCCUGAAUCAGUGUGUGUGUUAGUGGAAGCGUCUGGAAAGGCGCGCGAUACAGGGUGACAGCCCCGUACACAAAAAUGCACAUGCUGUGAGCUCGAUGAGUAGGGCGGGACACGUGGUAUCCUGUCUGAAUAUGGGGGGACCAUCCUCCAAGGCUAAAUACUCCUGACUGACCGAUAGUGAACCAGUACCGUGAGGGAAAGGCGAAAAGAACCCCGGCGAGGGGAGUGAAAAAGAACCUGAAACCGUGUAC